rnacentral:rRNA from 1 species
CGGCGGACGGGUGAGUAACACGUGGAUAACCUACCUAUAAGACUGGGAUAACUUCGGGAAACCGGAGCUAAUACCGGAUAAUAUUUUGAACCGCAUGGUUCAAAAGUGAAAGACGGUCUUGCUGUAACUUAUAGAUGGAUCCGCGCUGCAUUAGCUAGUUGGUAAGGUAACGGCUUACCAAGGCAACGAUGCAUAGCCGACCUGAGAGGGUGAUCGGCCACACUGGAACUGAGACACGGUCCAG